AGGACCACAGGGACAUGGUCUUCUGAGGCAGCUUCAGUUUAGCCCUAAGAAACGCACAGGAAAAUGGCCUUCAGUCCAGAAGGAGAUCCUCAACCUUACUGGAGCCAGGAAUCCUGAGGGCAGAAGCUCCAAACAGGAAUCCAAACCUCCUUGGCAGCUGUGGGCAGCUCCAGUCCUUCACCCUGUUUCUGCUCCCAGAGGUCUCAGGACCACCAGGCUACAGAGUCAGCUUGAGGCUUUUAAGAUGCAGAAAGAUCUGUCUCAGCCAUUCCCUCCCCAUGGAAAAUACAACAGAACUCUCCUUAUCAGCCCAGCUCUGACCUCCAGGCUCUGACCUCAGGCACCUGGAACUGACCUGCCAUGGCUCCAGGCCAUCAAACAGCAUGGCAGAUGGACUCAUUUUAAUCCAAACCUUCAAUAAAACUCCUUAAAUUAGCUUGGCUGCAACAGGCACAGGAAUAUACCUUAAACACAUGAUCCAAAACCUUUUCUUAGCUGAGAUUUCCUCCCUCCUCCUGAUUUAUUGGAGGAACAUUCCUUCACUGUGAAGAAACACAAUCUUCCAUGGCUACAAGUGAGCCAGACCACGGUGGGCAGCUAUUGAUACUGCCAGAGGUAUUUAAUGAGCAAUCAGUAACCAGUGGAUGAGCAGCCCAAGGC